GCUAAUGUAGCUUAAAUUAAAGCAUGCCACUGAAGAUGGCAAGAUAGGCUCUGGCAGGGCCCCAAUAGCA
rnacentral:tRNA from 1 species